AACGGCCAUACCAGGCUGAAUAUACCGGUUCUCGUUAGAUCAUCAUUGGGCACGGUCAGUACUUGGGUGGGUGACCACCUGGGAACACAGCGUGCCGUU